GCUAAAAAUAAAGACAUCUGCGGAAGGAGUCACUCACCUCACGUGUGCACUUCAACGUGAUGUGGCAAUGCGGUUGGACGGCGUUUUCUAAAAUUAUGAGGAAAAAAAAAAAGUCAUCAUGAUGAUCUUCCUACUUGAAACCGACGAACUUGAAAUUACGCUGGGAUAAAGACGAAGGUACAUACUUUGGACGCAUAAUGCAGCUGAGGAUUACGUACACAUUGUUCAUAAUUUAACUGAACCGUAGGAUUUUACAGAUAUUCCAGAUAUUUUACUCGACAAGCAUUUCGCUUGCGAUGCAGAGGCAUGGCUCUUAAAGUGACAAAUUAUUGAGGGAUACAUUUGUCAAGGCCGAGAGGAGAGCAGGCGGUGUACCGAGAGGAAUCAUGAAAAUAGGUAGAGAUCGUAUUAGCUAGGUCAUGACCUACUUCCACACUCGCAUACGUCACACAGACGUUUUUUGGAUUUCGAGGAUUCCUACAAAGUUACAUCAAGGAUAUACAAGUAUUUUAUAUCUCCCUUCGCUUCUAUUUACUUUUUUUUUUUCCCCUAUCUGAUUUUACGUUUUCAUGCGUGAUAUAUAGAAUUACAUAUCGGUGAACACAUUUGUUAUAAUCCAAUUAAUCAAUUUUUGAUAAGAUUAUCUUUCAAAGUUCAUAAUAAAGAAAUUAUUAUUCCGUUAAAUCGGAAAGAACGAAUUUGAUAAUACGUCAUGCGCAUAGAUUUAAAUAUAAAAUAAAAUGAUAAUAUAUAAAUUAAGGAUUGUUGUGGUGGGAAAAAAAUCAUUUUUGAAGGACUCUUAAAAAAAGAAAAAAAAAAAAAAGAGAGAGAGAGAGAGAGAAAUACUUUUCUUUUAUAAGUUAGUAAUAAAAUUAUGUCGAAGUAACUUAUUAGAAGUGAGAAGAUCAAAACAUUGAACAAGCGUGGAAAACGUACAAACUAAGUGAUAAUGAUAAUGACAUUGAUUUAGAAUAUAUGCUUAUAUAUUU